AGACGCUGGGGACAUGGUUCUGCGGUAAAGCGCUCCCCUGGCUAGGCUCCAGCCCCAGCACAAAUGAAACGGACGCUACCAGCCCUCGGGGUCAGAUCUGGCUGUGAGACCCAGGCCAGCGUGGGGUCAGCCUGCACUGGGGCGUGACGGCACCGUGGUCAGGAGCCCGACCAGGGGGCGUCAUGAGGCCUGGGACCUCACUGCACAGUGAGGAGCCAGCCAAGGCUUCAUGCAGUGCCCGCUACGGUGAGACGUCGAGACAGAAACCACCGCGACAGGGCGCGAGCCGAACAAACCGAGCCGUCUUGAGUUCCCAGCUUGACAGAUCGGCCUGUUGGGCAGCAGGGGCUCAGAGGGCACGAUCCCGAGGCUCACACCGCCAUGGGGCACAGAUGAGGUGGACGCGGAGCUUCUUAAAAUCUUGGGUGCUGCUUUAUUUACCAAAGGUGCUGGCCCGGGGCUGGUCCCGCUAGCAGGACUCAGUCUUCCCCUACUCGGGGUGUGGGGGCUGAGUUCUUUCCCCGGCAGGGCGGCAGCCGGGGUGCGCGGUGGGUACCAGCACCGCUGUCUCAAGAAGGCACUUUCAGCUUUGGGGUCCCCAGGAAGAACUGCAGGACGCGGUCGGCCAGGAGCGCCAAGCAGAAGUCCAGCAGCAGGACCUGGGCGAUGACCAGCUUGAACUGCCGGGUGGGGGUGGGUGAGUCGGGGCCGGGCUGGGCUGGCCUGGCCCGGUCCAGCCCAGCCCGGCCCCUCACUCACCUCCACUGGGAUGUCCACCAGGCCGAACUGGCUGUUGAAGUCAGGAGAGGAGCCGAGCAGCAGGCCGAUGGUGGCUAGGAGGGACACGGCCAGGCUCCACAGCAGGGGCCUGUUCUCGGGCAGGCUCUCCAUGAAGGGUGGGCCCUGCGGGGAUGCGGGCAAUGGCUGUGGGUGGCCUGGACAUGAGGGUGCGUGCGGGGUGGGCCCGGUUCGGGGCUGGGCGGCCUCACCUUGUAGUUGAUGGCGAAGGUGGCCAUCUGCAUGGCCAUGGCCAUGAUGUACACAGUGCUGUUGACCAGGCUGGGCUCGAACUCCUUGUAGAGGUCUACAAACUGCUCCUGCCUGUGGGACGCACCAGGUCAGGUCCCUACUGUCCCCACGCCUGUCCCUGCGCCCAGGUGACCCUGGGCUCCCGUCAGCUUCUGUGCACAGGCCCUGUUGCCCACUGCUGCCCACCACUGCCCACCAGGGCGUCACUCACUUCUCGGGACUGCGGGCCUGGGCCUCCCGGUACAGGUAGACGAGGCUCAGGAAAUGCACGGCAAACUGCAGCAUCACGGGCUCUGAGGCUCCCCAAGCUGUGCCAGCCCUGACUGGACCCCCACAUCUGGGCUCUGGGCCCCACCUGUCCCUGUGGAUGACAGGUCCCACCCACAGACCACACGAGCCAGGGCCCAUGCCGCUGGGUGCCCACCUUGGAGCGGGAGAUGAAGAGGAAGCAGCCGGCCAGCAGCAGCCCCUGCAGUGUGGCCUGGAAGUCGCUGAACUUGACACCCUCCAGGUAGAGGACGCUCUGGCUGUAGGCCAGGAUGAGGGCGUUGAGCGCCAGGAUCUUGAACAUCUGCAGCGUGGUCACCAGAGUGCAGCGGCCUUGCUUGAUCACGUGGCAGACUGGGGCGACAGUGGGGAGUGUGGGAGCGGCCGUCGGGCGCGGGGCGCGGGGCGGAGGGCGGCGAGGGGCACUCACUGCACUGGAUGGACGAGAGCUUGGAGGUGAAGGGCGCGGCGAUGCUGGCGUCACCCAGCUUCACGAUGGGCGUGCUCUCGUCCUCCAGGUCGCGCAGCACCUGGCUCAGGCGGUCCUGC
rnacentral:lncRNA from 1 species